rnacentral:rRNA from 1 species
UACGUAGGGGGCGAGCGUUGUCCGGAAUUACUGGGCGUAAAGCGUGCGCAGGCGGUAUGACAAGUCAGAUGUGAAAGAGGCCGGCUUAACCGGCAAGGGUCAUUUGAAACUGUCAGACUAGAGUGCAGCAGAGGAUAGUGGAAUUCCCGGUGUAGUGGUGAAAUGCGUAGAUAUCGGGAGGAACACCAGUGGCGAAGGCGGGUCUCUGGACCAUAACGUGACGCUGAUGCACGAAAGCUAGGGGAGCAAACAGG